GGUUGGUUUUGGGUUUGAAUUUGUUUUGAUAGUUGCUGGUAGUUGUGGAUAGUGGCUAAAUUUUGUGGAAUUUAGGGUUAUUUUGUUGCAAACAAGAAUUCAGUUUAAAUUUGCAUGGCAUAUCGAUGAGUCGUACAAUUUUGGAUUUUGAAACAUCAACAAGCCUUGUAACUUGUAAUAUGUAUCAACUUCGCUAUGUAACCAACACAAGUCCAUAGCUAACUCCUCCCAAUUUUUAUUGGGUUGGAUCAAAAAAUCUAAUUCACUCAAAAAGCCACAUCCCUAAUUACCUAAGGUAAAUCCUAAUAUAUCCAAUUUACCAAUGUAAACCUAAUUUACACAUAGGAUUAUCGUGCAACUACAUCCCCCAACCUCUUCACUUCCCCCCAACCUCUCCACUUUCAGCGCCGAUCAAACCUUCUUCCCUAUGGUCCACGUCUGUCGCCGCCAUCAACCGAAGUCAGCGUUGCUGGAGCGCUGGUCGUCGACCCAAAUAGGGGCGCUUCGAAGUCACCCCUGCGCCACACGGUGCUGUUGCAUGUCACGGUCCGAGCUCCAAGGAAGACGCAUCCACUCCUCGACUUGCUCUGCAACAACUCACGCCACUGUUGGAGACCACCCCUGCACCACCGGUUCUGCUGCAUGUCACCGUCGGUCCUCCAUUGAAGAUGCAUCCACUCCUCAUCUUGCUCUGCCACAACGCACGCAGCUAUUGAAGACCCACCCCUGCGCCGCCAGACAACUAGCAAGCGCUACCCCUGUUCGUCCUGUGGAGCCCUAGCCAUCGCCGCUUACAACCUCGCCACCUAGACGCGUUGCGCACCUUGUCUUUCCUCCAGCGCCGGCGCUGCCAUACAGGGAAUCUGAUAAGGGAGGGGGAGUUAGAUACGGCUCAGUGAGCACAGGUGCACCUCCAGUUGCAUCGGAUGGGGAUGACGAGGACGACGAGCCCAUUGCCAAGAGACUACGCAGGAACAUUGAGCAAAUAAGAACACCUGAACUACAUAUGACAAAAGGGGACACCGGCACAACCAAUCAGACAGACACAAGAGUUAACCAAAAGGAUCCACUAAGAGGGGAGGAGUUAGCAGGGGCUCAGUGAGCACAAAAGCAGCUUCAGUUGCAUCCGACAAGGAUCACGAUGACGACGACCCCGUAGGCAAGAUACUCCGUAGAAAAACACAGUUGAGACAAUCACCUCAGCAUCAUAUGAUGGAGAGGGACACCGGCACGACUAGCCAGGCAGAAACAACAGAGCAACCAACUGUCCCGGCCGAUCCUGAACCCAAAAUUCCGUCAACAGCAUUGGUGCAGUAUUCAGGAGAUGAUGAAUACUUUAGUGAAUUUUUUGACAG